UGGGGGGCUGUGAGGGUGGUUCUGAGGGCUGAUGGGAGCUUUGGAGGAACAGGAGGCUGUGAGGGGUCACAGUGAAGGGCUGUGAGGGAUGUGCAGCCUAAAAUAUAGGGAGUGUGAGGUGUGAUAGGAGCUAUGAGUAGUGUGGGGCAGACAGGGUGGUUGGGGCAGUGUUGUGAUAAGAGUAUAGAAACUUGGUGGAGAAGAAACCCCUUGUGAGCCAGCUGGUUGUUAGAGAUCAGAGAGGGUGAGGGUAGCUGGGCUUAAUCUCUUAUUAUAAGCAGCCUGGCGCAAUAAGUGGUUGUGUUCAGUAGGAACUUCCACAAGCACAGGUUCUCAAACAGGGCCCUGCUGAAAAGCCUGUCCUCACCUUUCUUAGAGACCCCUGUUAAGUCCUGCAGACAGACACAGUGGCCGCUGUGCUGUGAUAAAUGGUCAGUGGGGUCUUGGGCAGUGCUGUGCCUCUACCUCUGCCGGUGGCCAGGCACUGCUCCAAAACAGACCUAAGCUCCAAACUGGGGGAAGCAGUAAGCAGUCCUUGUAAUGUGCUUCCUUUAAGGCUUCCUUGUGACUGGAUAAUGCUACUGUGGACAGCAGUGGACUUGUCGUGGAGCAUGAGAGCCAUUUCCAGAAGCUGUGACAAGAAAUUAUUUGUUUAUCCAAAUAUAAAUUGGAAAUAUAAUACAUUAUUUUAUAUUCAUUUGUGUUUGAUUCUGCAGGGUCCUAGAGGACACUUCCACAUGUGUAAAGCAUUAUGUUCCUUGUGCUAAAUGAAGCUGAGCUAGCAAGGAAAGCAGGUUUAAAAGAGGAUGAAAGUAAAUGGAGAGGUGUGAGGACAGAGAUAAGUGUGGGCAGCAUUUGCUAAGAUUUUGUAGGAGGAUGGAAAGCUUUCGUCUUCAGCAUGAAAAUGAAAAUGUCUUCAGCAUUUAUAGAUCCUUUCACUAUAAUAUGUGAGACAUGUAUUUUGCAUACUUGGGCUCAUGGUGCCCCUCUGAGGUAAAGCAGUACUGUUAUUCUCGUGUCCAUCCCAGGAAACUGCAGCAGAGACAAUGUGUUCACAUGGGGGAAAACAAGCUGGGGAUUGACAGGCUUUGGAAAAGCAAGAGCGGGCGCAGGGAGAGGGACCAGACUCACUGUGUUUCUGUCAUGAAAUGUGAACUAUUAUUGGAGCUGAACAUACUGUUUAGACAGACGGUUGUUCUCAGUGUUCUGAAAGUAGGAAUAAUUGAAGGAUCUCUUCAAACUUCUGUCCUGAUGCUCAGUGGUGCAUUGUUGAGUCUCCCCUCCUCCCGCCGUGCCCGCAGGCACCCGCCCAGAGCUGGUCUCGACGGCAACAAAUGGUAGCAGAAGAUGGCUAUUUCCAUCAUUUGUGAAAGGGGGGAGAGAGAAAGGAACUCUGCCACUGCAAGAGCUCUGCAGAUGCUAAGAGGAGUUGACGCGCCGGGCGGAAAACAAACCCGAAGCUCCAGGACCCUCUUCGGUCCUUGCCGGCGUGCUCUCUUACCGCCCGGGAGCAGCUGUGCUGCAGGGGCAGCCGGACUGCAGGGGCCGGGAGCCAGGUAGACUUACCCGAGGACAAAGAGGACAGUUUGGCAGUGGCUCAAUGGACUGAGCUCGAAGAGUGGCCCGUCAGGGGACAGCAUUUGAAUGGAGACCAGAGGUUGACAGUGGCCGAACCCAGGGUUUCAAGGGCGAGCUCUGGUUAACGGGAACACCCAGGCUUCUGGGAGAGCCAAACUGCGAAAGAACAUGUUCUCAGUUCAGCGCGAUGUUCCACCACUGAGGAGAGAGAUAGAGAUUUCACCGCCCGAGCCCAGAGGGUAAGUUGGGUCAGAGCAGGGUGGGACCCUGGCGGGCGGCUGGGCUACCGUUUUUUCUUUUGAGUUUUAACCACCGUCCGCAUCCAUCCAUGUCCCUGGCGGCCGGGAGGCUUUUUCUUUUCCGAGGAGGACACAAACUCGCUCGGUCUUUUUGGGGUAACUCAUACUGGAAAGCUCCUUCUCUUUCUCGGAAAGCUGUCUUUUCUACCCUCUCCUCCCUAUUCUGGGCUAUGGGGGCAGGGGGGGUCGAAAGGACACCAGUGGGACAGAAUUGUAAACGGCGACACAUCAGCUAUGGGAGAAUUGUUAACAUCCUAAGAGAGGCCCUUCACAUCCAUGCAUUUCAUCGGCUUCCAGCCACGUCAGGCCCCUCUCCUGUAGAUUUUCCCCUCCGCUUCUGUGAAGCUUCCCCUUCCCUUUUCCCCACAGACUUCCCCAAACCUUCUCCCGUGGGGGUGGCCGCGGCCGAGCCGCCCCAAGUGCUCUGCCGGGCACUGUUAUCCUCCCUUAGGGGUGGCAUUGGCCGUGCCUCCCCGGGCGAGAUGCAGUGCACCCAGCACCCCCUCCCAAGAUGGCGCUGGCCACGCUACAGGGAUCCCAUUUACUCGCCUUGAUCCUUCUCUUCCGCCCACGUUUUCCCGCCAGCCCCACCCCUCCCCCAAUGGCCCUGCACCAUCCUGCAGCGGGCCAGCCCCUACUGGGGGGAGGUGAGGUUGAAUUAAUCCCUCAGUCCUUCUUCUGGCUCCCCCUCUGAUGGGAAGGAUUGCCGGAGGGGUCCCUCCGUUAGAGGACCUCCCUUUGUAAGAGAGCUUUCCCCUUUGCUGUGGGGGGGUGGGGGUGGGGCCUUCGAAGGGAGUGGAGCUGGAAACCUGGACCAGAGCUCCACUGUUUUCUUCCCCUGAAACAGUGGCACCCAGGUUCACCCUUUAUCCCAUCUCCUGAAUGUACCUUGCCCAAAGUUCCCUUAUUAUUUUAAUACAAGUUUUCCCCAUUGCUUGUGAUAACUUGGAAAUAACUUCUUGGAUUGAGUUAUAUCUUAUAGAAGGAAAGAUGAUCCUCUCUAAUUACUGCCCACAAUGCUAUGCCAACUUCGCAAUCAAAUUGGAGAAACCACAUCGCUGUUCGCUGCCUGCUUCUGCUCUGCUAGAAUUUGGAAACCACAAGAAUCGCAUCAUGAAUCCUGCUUUCUUCCUCGAUACAGAAUGUGUUUAUGAUAAUUUUGUACCCUUUAUCUUAAAUUGUAAUGUGGAAAAGAUUUUUGCCCUAUUAAUUGUAAGUAUGAUUGGUGUAUCACUUUCUGAUGUCUCUCGAAUUUGUAACGUUAUUAAUUUGUUUUUACCUCAGAACUCCCUUUCCUUUAUGUAAAUUCAAAAGAGUAAGCUGUAGGAUUUGUAAUUUUCUCUUCUUCCCCCCCCCCCCCCAUUCCCCCUCCCCCCGUGGUCCCUUGUCCCGACCCUUUGUUCCCUUCUCAGUUCCCCUCACCAUGCUGUCCAGUCCCUGCCCGCCCCUACCCCCCCCCCCGCCUUUCCCAUCGCUGUCCCCGGGGUUUCCCUGCCCCUGUCCCCUGCCCCUGUCCCCUGCCUCCCGUCCCAUUUGCCGCGGCUCAGGUUCCCCCCCGCCCCCGGCACAGGGUAUAACCGAGCCCUGCUUGGUGCCCCGGCGUCUCGGGAACACGGUUCUACAAUAAACACGUGUUUGCACCUGA